GACGAACGCUGGCGGCGUGCUUAACACAUGCAAGUCGAACGGAAAGGCCCUGCUUUUGUGGGGUGCUCGAGUGGCGAACGGGUGAGUAACACGUGAGUAACCUGCCCUUGACUUUGGGAUAACUUCAGGAAACUGGGGCUAAUACCGGAUAGGAGCUCCUGCUGCAUGGUGGGGGUUGGAAAGUUUCGGCGGUUGGGGAUGGACUCGCGGCUUAUCAGCUUGUUGGUGGGGUAGUGGCCUACCAAGGCGAGGAUGGGUAGCCGGCCUGUGAGGAGGACCGGGCACACUGGAACUGAGACACGGGCCAGACUACUAAGGGAGGCAGCGGCGGGGAAUAGUGGAGAAUGGGCGACAGGCGGACCCAGCCAUGCAGCGUGUGUGAAGAAGGUCUUCGGAGUGUAAAGCACUUUAAGGUGGGAGGAAGGGAAGGAAGUUAAUACCUUGCUGUUGGGACGUGACAAACAGAAUAAGCACCGGCUAAAUUCGUG
rnacentral:rRNA from 1 species